AAAAUAACAAUGAUUCCCCCAGUAACGGCGAGUGAACAGGGAAAAGCUCAAAGUUGGAAGCUCCUGGCCCUAGGCUAGGCGCAUUGUAAACUAAAGCUGUAAAGUAGUACGGUUGGCCUGGUAAAAAAGUUCCCUGGAAUGGGGCGACAUGGAGGGUGAAAUCCCCGUCUUUGGCCAGAGUUCAGUCAUGCGUUUGCUUUGCUGCGAAGAGUCAGGUUGUUUGGGAAUGCAGCCUAAAAUGGGAGGUAGACUUCUCCUAAAGCUAAAUAUUGACGAAAGACCGAUAGCGAACAAGUACCGUGAGGGAAAGAUGAAAAGCACUUUGAAAAGAGGGUCAAAAAGUACGUGAAAUUGCUGAAAGGGAACCGUAUGAAAUCAGCCUGAUGUGUGGGUAAUCAGCCUGGGCUUUGGCCUGGGUGCACUUGCCCAUGUAUUAGCCUGCGACAGUUUGACUUGGGGGAAAAAAGAUGGGGGAAUGUGGCCUCGGCUUCGGUCGUGGUGUUAUAGCCCCUGUCAAAAUACCUUGGGUUGGACUGAGGACUGCAGCGAGCCGUAAGGCAUGGGUCUCGGGCGCUUUGUCUCGGCGAAAAGUGAAUCUCUGCCUCGGGUGGUGCGCUUUUCGUCAGGGCAAACACGCCUGUUUCUUCUUUCUCUCGCUUAGGUCGUAGGCAUAAUGAUUUUAUA
rnacentral:rRNA from 1 species